GCCUAUAGCCAUACCACCCUGAACACGCCCAAUCUCAUCUGAUCUUGGAAGAUAAGCAGGGUCAGGCCUGGUUAGUACUUGGAUGGGUAUAAAGGUAAAGCAAGGUGAAGGUA
rnacentral:rRNA from 1 species